rnacentral:rRNA from 1 species
UACGUAGGGUGCGAGCGUUAAUCGGAAUUACUGGGCGUAGAGCGUGCGCAGGCGGUUCGUUGUGUCGGCGGUGAAAGCCCCGGGCUCAACCUGGGAAUGGCCGUUGAAACUGGCGAACUGGAGUGUGGCAGAGGGGGGUGGAAUUCCGCGUGUAGCAGUGAAAUGCGUAGAGAUGCGGAGGAACACCGAUGGCGAAGGCAAUCCCCUGGGCCUGCACUGACGCUCAUGCACGAAAGCGUGGGGAGCAAACAGG